GAAACAAAGAGACGGAGGGCAGGACAGAAACAGGACAAAGAUGGAAAACGUUUUAUUCAGAACCGUGGUUAAAAUAAGAGCUCCCUGGUUGCACAACGAAUGAGGAGGAGAAAUCUCCAAAGCUCGUCCCUGGAGAACGGCACCAUUGGACUGGACGUUUAAGAUGGACGCCAAGGGAAAAAGCCUCUUCUGUCCUAAUCAUAAAUGUACCCAACUGUGGAGGAGUUUGCACAACCCUGCUUGGACUUUUACCUGUAAAUAUAUGUAAAUGUCCGAUCGUUUUAAAGUGUGUGUAAAAAUCUGAUGGGAUGUUCAAGUAAGCACAAAACGGGUAAUCACUGGGUCUUUCCCCGUGACAUUGGUCCGACAGACAAAGACAAAACACAACGGAAAUGUAAACAACCAGGCUCCUUCUGUCUGAGUCUAAACUUUACAGAAAACUCGAGGGGUGAGCUAAAGAAAAGAGAGCAUUAUAGACAAAGAUCACAAAUGUUAGAAAAUGUUAUCUAACCUUUCCAAAAAGGUUGGAAAUAAUGUCCCCACUUUCCAAGUUUGUCAAUAAAAGAUCUGUUUA